rnacentral:lncRNA from 1 species
UGCGACGGCCUCAAGGAGAAGCUGCACGCCGCCGUCCUGCUCGCCGGCACCCCCUACUCCCUCGCCUCCCUCGAGCUCCAGGCGAGCAAACCCAGAACCAGUCCAUAAUCUCUUUCUCGUCCUGAGAUGAAUGCUUACUUAGUUACUUUGGAUGCUGGAUGGACUAAUUCGAUCAGGAGAGGGACAUCACGACGAAUGGGAGCGGCUGUACCAGUACGAGAUCCUGGUGCUGGCCAAGGUGCUCCCCGACGGCACCGAGGUAUCCAUCGAUCCGCUCGCGAUUCACCCUUUUUUUGCCAUGUUUUCGGCUACGCAAUGUAAGCUUGCACAUAGCUAAAUUAUGAUACCAGCAUACAACAUCCAUCUGGCUGUAUAAAUGUCUCAAUUGGAUAAACGAAAGCAGACAGUGGCUAUGCCUCGCUGGUUCGCUGUAGUUGGUAUACUCGCCACAGAUAAUAAAAUCAUGGAGAACAUAAAAAGAAGAUGGUAUUGAUCGAAUCAUCUUAUUUUCAGGUAUAAUCAGGAUUCAUAAGAAAGAAGAAGAAUGACAUCUCUCUUCCCCUCAAUUACUUCUUUGUGUUGUUUGUUUCUUGUAUAUACUAUGAAGAAAUUGUAUGUUAUCCUGGAUAACUCAAUACUACAAUUUUUUAGUGUACAAAAAAUUUAGGUGUCACUUGGUUAAGCAACAUUUGAGACUAUUCUAACACUAUUAUGGAUUAUUUUCUAUAUUUCUUCUUUCCUAAUUAUCUUCCUUUUACUGAGGAUUGCAGCUAAAUGUGCUCCUUUUUACCGCAAGGGAAAUGGUCAUUUGAGUUAUUUUAUUUCAAUUAUAUUGUAAUAGAGCUUCCAGUGGUCCUCCUACAUGAUUGCAUCCCAUGUACUCUCAAAAUACCCGAUUAUCCUGAAAGAAAGCAUUAGAAAUUUAUAUAAAGAUAAAAAACAAAUGGGUGUAUUAUUUGAAGACGAAUACAAGUUUGACCUCUUUCUGUAAUAAACAAAUCCAGACACAUCAAUUGCAAAUGCUCAGGUUAGUGAAGUUUGUGAAGACGAUGUUCAUGGAGAAUCGAUGUUCAAAUCUGUUUGUAAUAUCAUCUACAUUCCAUACUUGUUUAUUGGCCUAGCGAAUCCAUAUGUACGGCUUGCAUUGCCAAUUAUUGUACUAUUUUUCUUGUUUAUGUAUGGUAUUUUCCGCAAAGAUUCACAUAUAUGCUGUGAGCUGAUUCUAAGUUUGGUAGAAAACCCACAUAUAUGUUAAUGGUUAGAACUUCAGUCUAUUUUUCUACCUAUUCCUUUGUUUGUAGAGUUUAGUUCUGUUCGACCAUGUUUCGCUAGGAAUAAUGUUGAUUUGUAUUCCUUUUAGACCCAACCUCCAGCCCUUCCACAUGACAAGAAGCCCAUAUCUUCCAUUACAUAAAUCAUUUAUUAAUGGUUUAGGAACUUGAGACUCUCUCUUUAUUUUAUUUUAUUGGAAACUGCAUCAUAUCAUGUUCUGAGUAUUUAGUAUCAGAUUAAGGUCUGAAUGACGAUACAUGCUCGUAAAUGAUAAGCUGGGUUGAAGUAUUAGGUUCUUUCCUUUGUUUCAUUCGUGGAAAAACACACACACACACACACACACACAUUCUAUUGUUCAUCGCCUUUGCGUGCAGAUUUUGUUGCAUAGUGCCUUUAGCUAUUUUUUCCUAUUUUGUUCUUUGUGCAGCACAAGUGGUCCUCAUCUCGAUGGCGAUUUUGUUCAUGCUCUUCUCGGUCCAGCGCUUUGGGGCCGACAAGGUCGGAUACACCUUUGUGCCAGUCAUCUCAGUGUGGUUCCUUCUAAUUGCCGGCAUCGAGAUGUACAACCUUGUUGUUCACGACAUCGGUGUUCUGCGGGCCUUCAGUCCGAUGUAUAUAGUGCAAUACUUCAUAAGGAAUGGGAAGAGUGGACGGGUGUCACUUGGUGAGAUUAUCUUGUGUGUCACAGGUAACCUUUUUGUACUUGAAAAUUUUAAAAUGACAAGCGGUUGCGUUGCAAACUAUAGCCUGUCGAACUGUAAUCUGAAUUAACUGACUGAUUGUCAUAUGUAACAGGCACAACAGGUAUGUUUGCUGAUCUAGGACAUUUCAACAUCAGGGUUGUUCAGGUAACCACAUUAAUUUUAGAUAUAAGCUUUCAGAAGUAACAUUUUUUCCUGAGGCCUCCCUCAAGAGUUCGAAACAGAAGGAUCUCAUCUUACAAUAGUUUUUGUGCUUACAUUUGCAUCUCAACUUCAACGACAUCGUGUUCCAGUCGGUGGCACUGUGUUAUAUUGGGCAGGUGGUUUACCUGAGGAAAUUCCCACACAACGUUGCAAACACCUUCUACAGAUCCAUCCCAGGUACAAAGUUUUUUUUGUAAGACUGCAAUUUUGCUGAAGAAGGGAGUAGAUGCAUGCAUUUGGUAAAUAUGGCAGAAGUAACUGAAUUGCUUCCUUGUGCAACACCAAUGUUCUGGCCAGCCUUCAUCGUUGCCAUUCUUUCUGGCAUCAUAGCAAGCCAAGCUAUGCUCUCCCGUGCGUUUGCCAUCCUCUCCAAGGCUCUCUCUCUCUCUCGUUUGCAUGCCAAGGGUUCGAGUGAUCCACACCUUGCACAAGUAUGAGGGACAUGUGUACAUUCCUGAAGUGAACUUCCUGAUGGGAUUGGCGAGCAUCCUCGUGACGGUCGCCUUCCGGAUGAUCACCAGCAUCGGCUAUGCUUACGGUAAAUGGCUGGCCAAGGAUAAGGCGUUUGUGUUCCACUCAGGUUUUCACUUUUCAGUGGGAUGCUGUCGUGCUGAACAUAUUUAUUCAUCGAGCUGAUCGACCCGAUGUUGGUUAUGCGCAGGGAUCUGUGUGGUGACCACGUUGCUCUAUCAUGGAUGUUGAUUUCCAUUAAACAGUAUUCUGUAUUCACUCAGUUCGGCCUCACUUUCCUCACACAUGUUGGCUUAGCUUGGCUUGCUAUGAUGCCAACACAUGGAUGUCUGAUCAACGCCACUACUCCAUUUGUGCAGUUACUAGAGACACACAUGUUGUGCUGCAGCCGUGGUGCUCCAGUACACCAUAGGCCUCCGUUGAUCAAAUGCAUGAUGCUAAGGUUAAAUCCUAUACGCAGUUUAUUUCUACUUGCACACAUCAAGUUCAGUUAAAUAUGUCAUGGUUAGCUGAAUGAAAAUAAAAUAAUUGAGAGAAGUGGUGCCCACGUGAACAAGCACUCUUUUGGCCGAGCCGGAAAUAUUGCCUGAAAUUAUUGUUUCACUUGGUAUAAUCACUCUCCAAAAAGGUUAGGUAAAAUUAUGAAAGUAUGAUUAUGCUUUGACAACAUUACUUUAGAAUGAUACAUGUGCUGUAAUUUUACAAACCUCAAUAUGAUUGAUCCCACUUAAUAUCAAUCAUAGUUUGGACAACAUUCGGACAAUCAUAUUAGAAGAUUAAAUUGUUAUGUUUAUUGGUACGUACAAUAGUCUGACCGAUGCUCCUACUUAUAUUAAUUAAAUUCUGGAAAACAGACAAAUAAUGGAGGUAAUUAUAGGAUUAUGUGGCCAUUUACCCAUGAAACCAAUAAUUUAUUACAAGCUAAUAUUAGACAUCUUCAACAAUAGUCAAUAAUAAGAUGUGUGAAAAUCCGAUCCUGAAGAGGGGAUGGAAGAACAUGGGCUACAUUGAGUGGAUGAUAUCACUACCAUUGCCUCACAAACACAAAUGUAUCACUGAACUUAUCCAAGAAAUAUGCUGUCCCAAAUUGCAUUUAUCUCAUUCACGGAUAAAUGAUGGAAGAUUUAUUUACCUUGCCAAAUGAGAAUAUAGCAGCUAAAUAUGUACUAAAUAGUUUAUCUUAUUGACCAGAGGCUGUAGUAAAAUAGUUUAUCUCUUAAUAAAAGUAAAUGACUUUCAAUCUAUAGAAAAAGGUAAGUAGGUUUAGUAACCAGCAAUAAUCACAUUUUUGGACUCUUCUUAUGAAGUGUGAGCGUGCUGAGGAGACUUAACUACUCAAUCAUGGGUACUUCAAUCUGAGAAUUUUUUGCAUCCUUGUCGUUUCCUUUCUAUAUAUCCUCUGAAAUAACAAUCAAGAUGUACACCAUCAAAAUCAUGCUAAUCCAACUAUCUGGUGUGUAGGUCAUCAUUGUACGACUUCCAUUCUGCUCCAUACAAUAUUCAUUCUCCAUGAUUAAGUGGUAGUUUGUUACUGUUUCGAAGAGUCAAGGUAACUCAUGUGCUCGAAUCAUUCUCGCUCUCACAUAUAUGUUCAUGCUAUACUUUAUUGUUUUUUUGGGUCUAUUUUACAGGUUUGGAAUACAAUUUCAGUUGCCUUCAUUCAUGGUCAAGGCUUCGGGUGAGUUAUUGCACACCUCCUUUAUAAUAUUGUAGUGAUUUAGUUAAUUUCAAUUGCAAUGCAUUCAGCAACAUUUAUAAUGGUUAUUCUAUGAAGUAUUGAAAAAUUAGACGCGAUCUUUUCUUCAAGAUGGUGCGGGUUAGUAUUGGUGUUGCGUUUCCAUCACAUGGGAAAAAUCAUUUUAAUAUAAUAUGAACAUUAUACCGAGUAACCAGUAUUGACGCGUAAGCCCUUAGCUGGUAUUGACACAGAUCGUCUGCCAAUAAAAGGCAUUAACAUUGAACCAUAUCCCUAUUACAACCAUGUAUUACAUAGAGCCUAGCAGGUGUCGGAUGCAUUAUCUGAAAUUCUAAAUACUUGCUUAAUACUAUGUGUAUGACCGCUAUCAUCAAGAUUAUAUUUUUUUUUCCUCUUACAGAAUCCUUGUACAAUACAAAUAUGAGAAAUUUCAUUUAUAUCUAACAUGAUACUUGUACUUCUGAUUUUGCACACACUUUAUUAUACCACAGUCAACCAAGUAGUAGCAUGCGAGUAAGGCUCAGGGUGGUUCCGGACAAAGAGACCUCAUGUAUCCUCGGCCUAAAGCAAGAUUGGGUAUGUGGCAUUUUAGAAGAUCCAUAGUGGCGCUUAUCCCCGAUUUGUUGCUUUAGACUAAGGAAUGGUUGUGAGUGGUUGUACAGGUAACUUUUUCGCCAAUAAAUGCACCACACAAGUAAGCUUUGAGAUUUGGAUGACACUCAUUUGUUCAGUUAGUUGGAUGGAGCGUAGCUUUCACCUGUUGUCCUGUCACUUUUUUUAAUUGAUUAUUUCUUGAUAGUCUUCGCCUUUUUGUUUUGUUCUAUGGAAAUUCAUCACCAUACACAUGAAAAAUAUUGUAUUGACACAUGGAGUUAUAUAGGUAACUUGAGUUAUUGUACCUUUUUUCCUUUAAUUCUUUUUGUUUGGAAUCAACAUUCAGUACAAAUGCUGCUGAAGUAUACCAAAUAGCACAACAACUUCUAAAGCAUUCAUCUAUUUCCCGUGCUUUGUCGGAUGUUCCAGUGAAACAAUGACAUGUAAUUAAUGUAUAUUGUUGUUCGAGAGAUUGUGUAUAUUUGAACAUUAUUGUUUUCUUGCAAUGAAGAUUAGCAAAAAAAUACACGUCAAGUUGUCAUCUUUGGAUAAGUUGUUGGACCACCGACAACAUGAAAUUAAUAAAGAUAGUGAUGAUCACUUUAGUUUGUCCAUGUGGUCUUGUUUUUAUUUCAUCCCAACUAACGUUAUUAUUGGUUAUGAAACUUGUAUGGCCAAUGGAUGGUAGCUAACAGACGGUCAUUAGCGGCUAAUCAAUACCCCCAGCACAGCUCAAACCCUCGCGGCAGGGGUGGAGGACCGCAGGGACAUGCUACUUCCAACAGUAGAACAGAGAACACAUCAAAGAAACGCUCUUCGCAGGAGGCAGGGAUGAGCGAGGACGAGAACGUUGAGGACACGACUGAGAGCCCCAUGAAACCAAUGCAGAUGGAGCAGGACGAGGGGGAACCACCCCAGACUGAAUCUUCUGCAGAAAAGCGGCUGGACAUGUCCAAUGCAACUACAGCAGGGCCGACUGAUCUAGGGGAUGAUCACCAGUCCACGACCAAUAUGAGGGAGGCUUCUGAACUCCCAGAGCAUACUCCACCACCUCCGCGGGCGUACGUUGCACCAAGGGACCGAAAGAAGCACAGGGCAGGUUCUUCACCACAUAAAAUAACAAACACUAUGAGCGAUUUGGCGGGCUCCUGCGAGGAGCACCGCCGGGCUCAAUGAGUUUUCUAUGCUGGAGCUGUCGAGGGGCUGGUAGACCCGAGACAGUUCGUGAGCUUCGCAAUCUUGUGAGGCAAUAUACUCCAAUGGUGGCUUGCAUUGUGGAAACUCAACUUCCUGGAGGAAGAGUAGAAAGCGUGGCAAGCUCAUUAGGAUUCGAUCUUUCUUUUGCUGUUAGUAGCUCUGGUAGAAGUGGAUGUUUAGGGAUCUUUUGGAAUAAUUCAAUAAAGCUUGAGAUCUUUGGUUACUCUGAAUAUCACACUGAUGCGUUAAUCACCAUGUCAGGGGUGGAACAAUGGAGAUUGACGGUGGUUUAUGGGGAAGCAAGGGUGGAGGAAAGAGGUAUAAUCUGGGACCUCUUUCGGUCAUUAGCUUCGGCGAAUGAUCGUCCUUGGUUGUGUUUGGGGGACUUCAACGAAGUCUUGCGUCUGGACGAGUACGAGGGAUCAAGCCACCGCAGCAUGACACAGGUCAAUGGGUUUCGUGACGUCGUUGAUGUUUGCGGAUUCUCUGAUCUGGGAUUCACUGGACCGAGAUGGACUUUCAAGAGAAGGGUCGCAGGAGGAACCUAUACUCGCGUCCGAUUAGACAGAGCCUUAGCUACUGCGGAGUGGUUGUCUAUCUUCCCAAAUGCAAGAUUAGCACACAAAGUGGCUGCCACCUCAGAUCAUAGCCGCAUCUUGCUUGAAACCGAAUGCCAACUGGGCAGGCUCAUACAACAAACUUUUAAAUAUGAGAUGAUGUGGGAAUCCCAUGAUGGUUUCCAAGAGGAGGUGCAACAACAUUGGCAGGCCCUGGAGUGGCUACAGUAGCAGAACCGAAGGGGAAAAUUGAUGCUCUGGCAAAAGGCCUCGGGCGCUGGGAUAAAAAUACUUUUGGCAAUGUGAGUAAGGAGAUCAAACGACUGAACGGAGAUCUGGCAAACCUACAGGCAGACCCAAGGUGUACCCAACCUACUAGGGUUGAAACAAAGAUCAGAGAUAGAUUGUCCGAGCUCUAUUACAGAGAGGAGGUGAUGUGGCGUCAACGGUCCCGGGUAACAUGGCUCAAAGAGGACGGAAAUACAAGGUUUUUUCAUCUGCGGGCAAGCAAUUGUAGACGCAAAAACAAAAUUCAGUCUCUGGUACGGGAGGACGGCACUACAGUUGAUGAUGCCAUUGAGCUAGAACACAUGGUCACCGAUUUCUAUAAACAUCUAUACACAUUCGAAGGUACAUCAAAUAUGGAGGAAGUACUUAACAUGGUUCCACGUAAAGUCACCACUGAGAUGAAUAAUCUUCUGACAUCGGAAUUUACUCAAGAAGAGGUGAAGGCAGCUUUAUUUCAAAUGGCACCCACAAAAGCGCCAUGGUCUGAUGGGUUUCCCGCCCAUUUCUUUCAACGCAACUGGGAAGUAUGUGGCACCGAAAUCACUACAGUCACCUUAAAAAUCCUGAAGGGAGAAGACGAAGUUUCUAUCUUGAACGACACUAUUCUGGUGCUGAUACCAAAGGUAACAAGCCACACACUCCUCACACAAUUCCGUCCGAGAAGUCUUUGUAAUGUUCUUUAUAAAAUAGCAUCCAAGGUCAUAGCAAACAGAUUGAAACCCAUCCUCCCUGAGAUCAUAUCAGAAGAACAAUCGGCCUUUGUUGGAGGAAGAAUUAUUACAGACAACAUAAUAUCUGCCUAUGAAUGUGUGCACUUUAUGAAACGAAGCAAGUCGAAGAGGAAUGGAUUCUGUGCCUGGAAACUAGACAUGAUGAAAGCAUAUGACCGUUUGGAAUGGACAUAUCUGAGCGCUAUGAUGACCAGACUGGGUUUUGCACCAGCCUGGGUUGAUCUUAUCAUGGGGAUGGUGAGCUAAGUUACUUUUUCGGUCUUAUUUAACGGGAAGAAACUGGAUCAAUUCACUCCUACGAGAGGGAUUCGACAGGGAGAUCCACUAUCACCCUAUCUGUUCUUGUUGGCAGCAGAGAGCCUCUCGUGCCUCCUCAAAAACCACAAUGAGUCAUCACCUAUUCACGAAAUUAAAGUGGCACCAACGGCUCCGUUGGUAAGUCACUUACUGUUUGCUGAUGACAGACUGCUGUUUUUCAAGUCGAGUUGUCAGGGAGCUACUAUGGUAUCUUCCUUGUUGGAAACCUACUGCAAUGCUUCGGGACAGAGAAUUAACCAAGCUAAGUCCUCUGUUUUCUUGAGUAAAAGCUGUGCAAAUGAGGAGAAGGAGAGUAUCAAGAACAUUAUCAAUGUGCACAAUGAAUGUCUAAAUGACAAAUAUUUGGGCAUGCCCACAGAUGUGGGUAGCAGCAAAAAUGGGGCCUUUAAAUAUCUGAAAGAUAGGGUUUGGGAUAAAGUUAAAGGAUGGAUGGAAAAGAUUUUAUCCCCAGGAGGGAAAGAAGUUCUUAUAAAGUCCAUUGCGCAAGAAGUUCCGGUCUUCUCUAUGGCGUGCUUUAAACUUCCCCGCGGUUUGUGCCUCCACAUCAACUCCCUGAUUAGGAAGUUCUGGUGGGGUAGUAAGAACGAUGAAAGGAAUACUAGUUGGGUAUCGUGGGAGGUGAUGACACGGCCUAAAUAUGAAGGUGGAUUGGGUUUCAAAGAUAUUGAACUAUUUAAUCUCGCCUUACUUGCUAGACAAGCUUGGCGCCUGCUCAAGACUCCGGAAUCAUUAAGUGGCAGGAUCCUAAAGGCACGUUACUACCCCUUCACUUGCUUCCUGGAUUCUGAGCUUGGAAAUAACCCAUCACAAAUAUGGCAUGCAAUCAUCGAGGGGAAAGAUAGUCUCAAGUUAGGAGUGAUCAAACGGAUCGGCGAUGGCUCAACCACAGAGAUAUGGAACCAAAACUGGCUCCCUAAAGAAGCUUCCAUGCGACCUAUUGCAUGUCUUACGGCCCAACGCCCUACCAUGGUUGCCGAGCUCAUCGAUCAUACAUCAGCCAGAUGGAGGCGGGAGUUGAUCACCUCAACUUUUUUAUCGAUAGAUGCUGACGUGAUUCUCAACAUUCCUCUAAGCACCAGACACUAUGAAGAUUUCUGGUCAUGGUCACAGGACAAGAAAGGCUUGUUUACCGUCAAGUCUUGUUAUCGCAUGCUCAUUACUACCAAGCUUCGACGGGAGGCCUCGCUUGAAGGCAAUGGCGGCCCGGCGGACGUCACCAGAGAGAGGAGAUGUUGGGAUACGAUGUGGCGGAUCCAAGUCCCUUCGAAAAUCAAGAUCUUCCUGUUGAGAUUGGCCCAGAGCUCGCUACCGACAGCAGACGUUCGACACCAUCGCAAUAUGGCACCCUCCCGGGCAUGUGCGAUAUGCGGGACAGAGGACUCUUGGAUCCACUCCCUGCUUACAUGCACUAUGGCUCGCUGCGUCUGGGUACUACAUGAUCCAGAGCUAGUCGAGCACAUGUUGGCGACUGCGGAACCAGACGCGAAGUCUUGGCUAUUCACCAUGCUAUCAUCAGUUUCUGCGACCGAGAUGACCAAGAUCACAGUAACACUAUGGGCGAUCUGGUUUGCCCGACGCAAACUGAUCCAUGAAGGAGAGCAUCAAAGUCCAGGGGCUACACUAGCCUUCGCCAACCGAUUUAUAGCAGAGUUGGAACUGAACAAGCCAACAUCGAGAUCAAACCCUAGGCCAGUUCACUCCAAUACUCGGCGAUGGAUCAAGCCCCCUGCGGGUUGGACAAAGAUCAAUGUCGACGGUGCAGUUUGCAACGCCCCCCCCCCCACUACGGAGCGAUCAAUGCAGUCUGCAGGGACGAACAAGGAGCUUAGCUGGGUUCAUCAGCCGUCGUCUUCCAUGGGUUAACUGAUCCUCAAAUUUUGGAAACCUUGGCUUUCCGUGAAGCCCAAUCUUUGGGACGAGACUUAUUAUUGCAAAGGUUGCAGUGGCUUCUGAUUGUCUGAAUGUUGUUGAAGGAAUCAACUCUGGAUCUGAAGGAAUAACCGGCCCUAUUAUCAAGGAAAUAUUUGAUGGUAGGAGUGACUUUCAACAUAUAUCGUUUACCCAUGAAGAAAGAUUAUCCAACAUGAAAGCUCACCACUUAGCUAGAUAUGCUCUGCAUUUAGGGGAGGGAUGCCAUGUGUGGCUACUCGAACCCUUUGAUACUAAUAUUAUCCCUGUAAUCCGCAAUAGUGAUCAAUAAAGCAGUUUUUCACCCCUAAAAAAAAAACUGAGUCUAUUAGCUUUUGUUGCCCUUAGCAGCAUGGGUGGGUGAAAUUACAAAUUUGUUAUGCAAUUCAUUGGUCUGAGAUAUUUCAUAAGUAGUGGCCAACUACCACACCUGUUUGAUGCUAUGAUUGGUUAACAUGAGUGAGAAUGAAAACAAAUGAAUAAAUAAGUCCCUAAAAUAGAACAAAAACCCUCGGACUGCCGGACUACAGUGUACUCGCUUGGGAUGAGAAUGUAAGUUGGGCAUGGCUGUGAGGUUGUACGGAAUAUUGUGGUUUCAUUCUUUUAUGAAAUGAAACGAGAGAGUCGGUCCCUAAUUAUGUAAAUAAAAAAGUCGGAGAUUGGUUUAAUAAGCGAAAAAAUAUGUUGUACAUGUAACGACCAUAACUUUUAGAUUCAGUGUCAAACGAAAUUUAUAAACACAUGUUUUUAACGGCAUACUGUACAUGUUUAACUAGUUAAAUAUUUCCAUCCGGAUGGAGUAUUAGAUUAGAUUGAUUAGUAACAAAGGAUUGGAGCUGUUCAUGGUGGUCAACCAGGGAUUGAUUAAGACGGUCAAAAGGUGCUGCACACAAGCAGUACCUCUCCCGCAAGUCAACCGGUCACUUCAUCCGUUGCUUCUGGAUCACGCCAUGGAGUACCCAUUAACCCAUUCGCAUAAUUAUUCGAUGUAGUGGAAUCAAAGACAAAUUCAUGGACAUUCACAGCAAAAAGAAGACCAAUCCAUGAAGCCAUAUGUAUGGUCCUUGAAGUCGAGGAGGAACUCGUGAGUUGUGAGAUGCUUUCUGUAUUUGGAUGGUUAGGAGGCACUGCCAUCUUUAGCUCAUGAGUGUUUAAAUUAUAAAUUUGGGACUGAUGCUUGCAAUUUUUUAAAUUUACUUCAGUCCUUCUAAAAAUGUGGGUUCUGUAAGAAUUAAAAGGAGGCGUUUCUGUCAACUAAGAAGGCAUUUGUGAUCAAUUUUUAGAUGAUGUGUCGGUUUAUUUCUUUCGAUGAUGCUCAUAUAGUAGAGCAUGCGUAAUUCGUAAAGAUGAAUGUAUGUGCGUAUGUAAAAACGUAUGGAUCAAUGUUAAAAAGUGCACUUCCUGCGCUACGUGUUGCGAUCUGCGGACCGAUGGGGCCUGCGAGGCUGCGAUGCUAGUUGUGAGCUACAUGUACGGACGUGUGCGUGUUGUGUUGGCGAAGACAAAUACUACCAGUAGGAUGCAACGGCAGAUACUCCCUCCGUUUCUAAAUAUAAGUUUUUUUAAAAGUUACACUAACGGAUUACAUACGGAUGUAUAUAGACAUAUUUUAAAACCUAUAUUCACUCAUUUUGCUUUGUACGUAGUCUUUAGUAAAAUCUUGAAAAAGACUUGUAUUUAGAGACAGAGGGAGUAUAUAUGUAUCACAUCACAUGCAUGGCUGAUGGCUCGUUGACCUAACCGCGAUCAACGGCGGGAUACAUGCAUGCUUUCACUGUGGCUUUCGAUGUGUCACACGUACUAGUACGAAACAUGCAGGUGAACGCAAAGCGUCUCCGGAGAAUGAUGGCCUCCACAGGGGAGAAUGAUGGCCUUUCCCCUAUAAAUCCCCACGUUCACAUGCGCCAAACACCUCACCACCACCACAGGACGACCCAUCUCAGCAGUGUGCACGAUCUACCAAGAAGGAAGAUCCAUGGCGCGGCAGCUCGUUGCCGCGAUGGCCGCUCUGGUGGCCGCGUGCGCCCUGGCGGCCGCCGCCGGCGUCGAGGCCCAGCCGCCGAGGAAGCUGCCGCCCAACUACCACAUGAUCACCCCGGGGAAGUUCGGGCAGAGGAGCCAGCAGCUGUCGUGCAAGGACACCAACGGCAAGAAGGCAGGGUGCAUGGGCAAGUGCGACAAGCGCUGCCCCAACCAGUGCAUCGUCCUCUGCCCCAGCUGCAAGACAUACUGCAGUAAGUUUAUACAUAUCCAUGUGAUGUACUGUACGUACUUCCUUUUCAGGUUAGAGUGAGUGGGCCUCUUUGAUUCAAAGGAUUUUUCAUGGGAAUUUGGGGGGUAUUGAAAUCUUUUAGCAUUUUUCUACAUGGUUAUUAGUUCGAUUCGUAGGAAUGAAUUUUGUAGAAGAAUGAUCUGGAAAAGGCUCGAACUUUCGUUUUUUUACUAUGAACGUUUUUAUGGCAAUGUACUGACGCAAGGGUGGCAAGUUUAGCUGACACACAAAUCUUUGCUCAGUGUAUUUUAUGCUUGAACUUAUCGUGUGUGCGAAUUAAACUUGUCACACUAAAGUUAUCAUAUAAGACGUUCAAUUUGUCAUGGUCAAAUCCCAAACAUUUGUUUUCGUAGAAAAAUUUAUGUGCCCCAGCCACAAGACAUACGUAUGUACUUUCCUUUUGAAACGGAGGUAAGAAAUUUGCCUCAUUUAUUAAAUAAGAAACGAGCAUAACGCGAGGGUGUUCUGACAAAAGAGCGUUCCUCCGCACAUCCUGCUUAAUAUAAGAGCAUCUCCAACGGCAGCGCAAAAAAUCCGCGUCCAAUAAUUUUUUUAGCGCGCCACUGUAGCAGUUUUGAAGCGCGGGGACGGAGCAUCUCCAACAGACGCGCGCUAGUGCGGCGCCCAAUCCAUUCCGAUCCAGCGGUCCCAUCUGCAGCAGCUCAGAGUUUGCUGCGCGCGCAAGCCGGCGCACCAAAUAUGCUGCGCGCGAUAGCGUUUUUGAGCAUGUGUCCAAAAGUUUUUAGCGCGCGCAGUGUUUUGCAGCUUCUGCUGGAGCAGUCCGGCGCCCAAAAAACGGAUCUUUUAGCGGGCGGAGCAGUUUUUGGGCGCCUGUUGGCGAUGCUCUAAUAGUCGAAGAGGCCAACCUUUGGAUCAAAGCAGGGGCUAAGAAGUUAGGGUUUUUCUUAUUGCAAGAAUGAUUUUCAGGCCGUAACUUGGGUGUGUUGUAACAUACGUAUAUACUCAUGCACUACUUUCUUUGUAGUAAAUAUGUACACUUUUAGUCCCAUUUGAAUUGGGUGUGAUUUUGCAUGCGUAUUUUGGCUUAAGUUUGAACUUUGGAGGACAUCAUGCCUUUUCUGUACGUUUGUGGUGCCAUUGACUUCACUCUUGAUGCGUCCCUUGGUUCCAGUGUGCGACUUCUACGCGGGCGUGUCUUGCGGUGACCCGCGUUUCACCGGCGGCGAUGGCAACAACUUCUACUUCCACGGAAAGAAGGAUCAGGACUUCUGCAUCGUCUCCGACGCCGACCUCCACAUCAACGCCCACUUCAUCGGCAAGCGCAACCCCUCCAUGAGCCGCGACUUCACCUGGAUCCAAGCCCUCGGCAUCCGCUUCGCCCACCACCGUCUCUUCAUUGGAGCCCAGAAGGCCACCAGCUGGAACGGCGACGUCGACCACCUCGAGAUGUCCUUCGACGACACGGCCCUCGAGAUCCCUAUCGAGACCGGCGCGCUGUGGAACUCCGCCACGGUGCCAGGGCUGUCCGUCGCGAGGACGGCGACCACCAACGGGGUGAGGGUGCACCUGAGGGGCGUGUUCGACAUCAUGGCCAACGUGGUGCCCAUCACCGAGGAGGACUCACGCAUCCACAACUACGGCGUCGCAGGGUCAGGCGAUAGCCUGGCGCACCUGGACAUCGGGUUCAAGUUCCACGACCUCACCGACGACGUUCACGGCGUGCUCGGCCAGACCUACCGCUCCGACUACGUGAACGGGAUGAGUGUGCGCGCCAGCAUGCCCAUCAUGGGCGGCGCGCCGAACUAUGUCUCCUCCGACAUCUUUGCUUCUGACUGCG